GUUACAGUAUUUUGGAAGUUUAGAAAUGAGUUAUAAGAUUCUAUUUUACUGGUUUUAGGCUAGGAAAUGUCUGGAAGAGACCAGGUACUUUAACUUUAUGAAUUUACCAUUAACGGAGAAACUGCAGCUUUUGUGCUUUCUCAAGAGAUUGGGAUGCAGGCAAUUGGGAGUAGAAGUUCUGGAUUUCAUAAUAACUAAGGAAUUUGCUUUCGGGUAUUGAAAACAACUUAAUUUUUUCGAAACUCUGAAAUCUCUAAAUGGUUUUGGACAGACCGUAGUCUGUCUUUCUGCCAAUGGCACCGAUAGAUUGAAUUAAUGAUUCAAAAUCUGACUUAAAUGUAAACAUUUACUGAACAGCAAACACUUCGCAACUGACGGAUCCGAAGUAAAUUAUAUCGAUUUGAAAAUUUUAUAAUAUGGUUUCAUUUUGCAUAAUCCGUUGCCAUAAUCCAUAAUCCGCCGCGGUUUAAGGAUUAUGAAUUGCCCAUUAAUCUCGGAUCGAGAGAUUAAUAUUUGUUAACAGU